UACGUAGGGUGCAAGCGUUGUCCGGAAUUAUUGGGCGUAAAGAGCUCGUAGGCGGUCUGUCGCGUCGGCUGUGAAAACCCGAGGCUCAACCUCGGGCCUGCAGUCGAUACGGGCAAACUAGAGUACUGCAGGGGAGACUGGAAUUCCUGGUGUAGCGGUGGAAUGCGCAGAUAUCAGGAGGAACACCGGUGGCGAAGGCGGGUCUCUGGGCAACAACUGACGCUGAGGAGCGAAAGCGUGGGGAGCGAACAGG
rnacentral:rRNA from 1 species